AAGAAAUGCCAAGGAAGGAAAAGAUUUUUUCCUUUGCUUUGAAUGCUGAAGGAGACCAACUUUUUUUGGUGGCAGACGGCCAAGGCAGAGAGCUUGCCGCUGAUAAGUGGAAAUGAAGGUGUUGUUGGCAUUGGUGGUAUCGCUAUUAGACAUCUCUAUGCAUACUCAGACAGAUGUAUGGAAGGAUGACUGGACGGACGAGCGAGCGGGCGUAAAGGAUAUCCAAUGAAUGGGGCGUUAUUAUGCUAAAAAUGCUGUCGUCAUCAAACUCAGCAGUUGGAUAGCCGAGAGAGCGAGAGGGAGGCUGUUAUCCAAAAAAUGGUGAUGACAAUAUGCUGCAUGCCAGGCAGGCAGCCAGCAGUACGGCAGUUGGUGGGGCGCAACAGCCAUGGUUUGGCCAGGCCAUACAUGUAUGGUUGCGUGUUGUCGCCUUAACCCCAAAUGUUUGUAAAGGCGUUCAGUUUCGUUUCGUUUUGUUUUUUUUUUUUUCAGUUUGAUUCGUCUUCUGCAUUUUCUUCUAGAUACGUCGUUUUUCUAACCACCUCCAUCAGCAGCAUCAUCGUAACCAUCAUCAUCUUCAUCAUUGGCAACGGCGACGGCGGUGGCAGUGAUGACGACGACGUCGUAGUCGUCUUCUUCUUAUUCACCAAACCUAACACCAAUACCAGACCACCACCACCACCAACAACAACAAACCAACCAGUCAACCAACCAACCAACAACAACAGUUGCUCACAAGUGUUGCUGGCACAACAGUAGCUGCUGCAACAUCAACAACAACACAACCAUAACCAUUAACAAUUUUGUUUUGUUUUUUUUUUUUUCUUGGCCAUAUCGCCUUGCCACCGACGACGACGACGACGUCGUUUUGCGUCGUCAACAUUUUGUGUGAUAUUUUUGUCGUAUUUGUGGUCCUCAUAUAGUGGUCGCGUUCAUGUUUUACCGCAAAAACCUCAACGAAUCGAAAAUUUAUAUAACCGAGUUUUAAUACCAACGCAACAUUUGCAUCGAUCGCCAGAAGGAUUAGAUUUUUUUUGCGUGCAAAGUCCGAUAAAAGUAAUUUGAAGUGAAGUGAACAUAACGGCCGAAUCGUUUUGAAAUUAAUAAAAAAAUAAAUAAUUUAAUUUAAAUAUCAGAUAAUGAAA